rnacentral:rRNA from 1 species
GGGCCCGCACAAGCGGUGGAGCAUGUGGUUUAAUUCGAUGCAACGCGAAGAACCUUACCUGGUCUUGACAUACACAGAAUCUUGUAGAGAUACGAGAGUGCCUUCGGGAAUUGUGAUACAGGUGCUGCAUGGCUGUCGUCAGCUCGUGCCGUGAGGUGUCAGGUUAAGUCCUAUAACGAGCGCAACCCCUUUCGUUAGUUGCCAGCGAGUCAUGUCGGGAACUCUAGCGAGACUGCCGGUGCAAACCGUGAGGAAGGUGGGGAUGACGUCAAAUCAUCACGGCCCUUACGUCCUGGGCCACACACGUGCUACAAUGGUAGGGACAGAGGGCAGCUACCCCGCGAGGGGAUGCGAAUCUUCAAACCCUAUCACAGUUCGGAUCGCAGUCUGCAACUCGACUGCGUGAAGCUGGAAUCGCUAGUAAUCG